rnacentral:rRNA from 1 species
CCCCACUGCUAUCGGGAUGGGACUAAGACAUGCUAGUCGAGCGUCUCCAAGCUAUGGAAGAGACGCGGCACACAGCUCAGUAACACGUGGCUAACCUGCCCUUGGGACAAGGACAACUCCGGGAAACUGGGGCUAAUCCCUGAUAAGUGAGAACUCCUGGAAUGGAUUCUCGCUCAAAGGACGUUUAGACCAUGCUUCUAAGCGUCGCCCAAGGAGGGGGCCGCGACCGAUCAGGUUGUUGGUGAGGUAACGGCUCACCAAGCCUUUAACCGGUACGGGCCGUGAGAGCGGAAGCCCGGAGAUGGGCACUGAGACAAGGGCCCAGGCCCUACGGGGCGCAGCAGUCGCGAAAACUCCGCAAUACACGAAAGUGUGACGGGGCCAUCCCGAGUGCCAUCCGCUGAGGAUGGCUUUUCCCCAGUGUAUAAAGCUGGGGGAAUAAGGAGAGGGCAAGCCUGGUGUCAGCCGCCGCGGUAAUACCAGCUCUCCGAGUGGUGGGGAUGUUUAUUGGGCCUAAAGCAUUCGUAGCCUGCUUGGCAAGUCCUCCGUUAAAUCCAACGAUUCAAUCGUUGGGCUGCGGGGGAUACUGUCCGGCUAGGGGGCGGGAGAGGCCGACGGUAUCCUCGGGGUAGGGGUGAAAUCCUAUAAUCCCGGGAGGACCACCAGUGGCGAAGGCUGUCGGCUAGAACGCGCUCGACGGUGAGGGAUGAAAGCUGGGGGAGCGAACCGGAUUAGAUACCCGGGUAGUCCCAGCUGUAAACGAUGCAGGCUAGGUGUUGGCGCGGCUACGUGCCGCUCCAGUGCCGCAGGGAAGCCGUUAAGCCUGCCGCCUGGGAAGUACGGCCGCAAGGCUGAAACUUAAAGGAAUUGGCGGGGGAGCACCACAAGGUGUGAAGCUUGCGGUUU